rnacentral:rRNA from 1 species
GAUGAACGCUGGCGGCGUGCCUAAUACAUGCAAGUCGAGCGAACAGACGAGGAGCUUGCUCCUCUGACGUUAGCGGCGGACGGGUGAGUAACACGUGGAUAACCUACCUAUAAGACUGGGAUAACUUCGGGAAACCGGAGCUAAUACCGGAUAAUAUAUUGAACCGCAUGGUUCAAUAGUGAAAGACGGUUUUGCUGUCACUUAUAGAUGGAUCCGCGCCGCAUUAGCUAGUUGGUAAGGUAACGGCUUACCAAGGCGACGAUGCGUAGCCGACCUGAGAGGGGAAUCGGCCACACUGGAACGGGGACCCGGUCCAAACCCCCACGGGAGGCAGGAGGAGGAAAUCUUCCGCAAGGGGCGAAAGCCUGACGGAGCAACGCCGCGUGAGUGAUGAAGGUCUUCGGAUCGUAAAACUCUUUUAUUAGGGAAGAAAAAAUGUGUAAGUAACUAUGCCCUUUUUGACGGUACCUAAUCAAAAAGCCCCGGCUAACUACGU